rnacentral:rRNA from 1 species
AUACGGAGGGUGCAAGCGUUAAUCGGAAUUACCGGGCGUAAAGCGUACGUAGGCGGUUCGUUAAGUUAGAUGUGAAAGCCCCGGGCUUAACCUGGGAACUGCAUUUAAAACUGGCGAACUAGAGUUGAGUAGAGGGGAGUGGAAUUUCAGGUGUAGCGGUGAAAUGCGUAGAGAUCUGAAGGAACACCAGUGGCGAAGGCGACUCCCUGGACUCGAACUGACGCUGAGGUACGAAAGCGUGGGUAGCAAACGGAAUUAGAUACCCUUGUAGUCC